rnacentral:rRNA from 1 species
GAUCCUGGCUCAGGAUGAACGCUGGCGGCGUGCUUAACACAUGCAAGUCGAGCGAAGCAGUUAAGUUGAUUUCUUUGGAUUGAUUCUUGGCUGACUGAGCGGCGGACGGGUGAGUAACGCGUGGGUGACCUGCCCCAUACCGGGGGAUAACAGCUGGAAACGGCUGCUAAUACCGCAUAAGCGCACAGGGCUGCAUGGCUCCGUGUGAAAAACUCCGGUGGUAUGGGAUGGGCCCGCG